GCCCGUGUGGACAACUGAAGUGUUACCCUGGUUUAUAUCAGGCAGGUGGAGGUUCGAAUCCUCCCGCGGGCA